rnacentral:misc_RNA from 1 species
GCUUUAUACGUUGAAUAAAUAAAUAUAAUCCCCAAGUCAAUUAACCCUCUACCAAAAAUGAUGUUUAAAUUUUAAAUACUAACUUUACAUCACUUAUAACUCCUAUAGUCCAAGUCUCACCUCUUUCAUUACAUAUAAUUGACUCGAACUAGUUUGUGGGAGGACUAGUGAGUAGUGAUAAUGAAAAAAAAAAACUUUUUUAAG